UAAAGGAGCACCGUGAAGUUUCCUCCUCUGUCACUAUGCGGCGCUGAAUUAUCGAGGAAGAAAACACUGGGGAGCUCAGUUCUGGUGGACUGAACACUACGGUGCCCUUCGUCCGCACAUUGAGAACAACAACGUAGCUGUCGUCUAUUUCGCUUGAUAAAAAUGUCCAGUACGACCGGCGGCGGAGAGUUCGGCAAUCCUCUGCGGAAAUUCAAGCUUGUGUUCUUGGGCGAGCAGAGCGUUGGGAAGACUUCUCUUAUCACCAGGUUCAUGUAUGACAGCUUUGAUAACACCUACCAGGCAACGAUUGGCAUAGACUUCCUAUCAAAAACCAUGUACUUGGAGGAUCGUACGGUUCGGCUGCAGCUGUGGGACACUGCAGGGCAGGAGCGCUUCCGUAGCCUCAUCCCCAGCUACAUCCGCGACUCCACUAUUGCUGUGGUGGUCUAUGACAUUACCAAUCUCAACUCCUUUCAGCAAACUUCAAAAUGGAUAGAUGAUGUCAGAACAGAGAGAGGAAGUGAUGUCAUUAUUAUGCUCGUUGGCAACAAAACAGACUUGGCUGAUAAAAGGCAAGUUUCAGUAGAGGCUGCAGAGAGAAAAGCUCGGGAGCUCAAUGUGAUGUACAUAGAGACCAGCGCCAAGGCUGGUUAUAACGUCAAGCAGACAGAUCACUACGGAGGAGGGCGAGCAGAGGGCUAAGGAACUGAAUGUCAUGUUCAUUGAAACCAGUGCAAAGACUGGCUACAAUGUCAAACAGCUGUUCCGACGUGUUGCAGCAGCCUUGCCUGGCAUGGAUAGCACACCAGAGAAAAGCAAAGAGGACAUGAUUGAUAUUAAACUGGAGAAGCCUCCAGAACUGCCUGUGACUGAGAGCAGCUGCUCCUGCUAGUAACCACCCCCAGAUCCCCACCAGCCCUGCCUCCUCCCCACCAACAGCUUGUUUCUCAGUGGCCACUCGCUCCACUCAGUGGCCCUGUGCCAUUAGUUGGAGAACCUUUUAUUUCCCCCCCUUGACUCAGUGACUUUUCGGAGUAACCGUGUGGAUGUGCUAUUACUCUGUAUUAAAACAGAUCAAAGAUUAAAACAUCAAAAAAAAAAAAAGAAAUAUAUAUAUGUUAAAGGGAAAAAAGUAAAGAAAUCACAGCAUAGGUUAUAAAUGCUCAUCGGAUUCUCAUCUGACUGCAUGGCAUUAUAUAGGAUUGCAGACUGACAUGGCUCAAUCGCUCUUGAGUUCUUGCACUUUUUUUGAGCAUCAGUGCUGUCACACUCAUUAUUGUGAAUUUUUGUUUGAGAUUCUCCAACUCUCUUAUGUUGGACCAAGGUCGCAUACCUUGAUUGCCUUGCUAUUUAAUUUCAGUGAAGAGAAUGGCAAGGGAAACCAAGAUGGCAUUGUGUAUUGGGGAACUGUAGUUACUGAUUGAUUUUUAUUUACAUUGACAGAUGUUUCAUUUGAAAGCAGACAAGCCAGACAUGGAGUGAAAGGACAAUUUAGCUCUAAACUAGAGUGAAGUUAAACAUUAUCUCAGCAUCUGGAACAGCAUACACAAUAAUAUAAUAGGAUGUCAAGUUUGGUGUUGGGGACCAGUACAGUUUGAGUCUUUUGUUUCAAGAUACAGGUUUAUGGCCAAAGAAGACUUGAUAUUCGUAGGUUAUUUUUAGACAAACCUCUGCAUUCUGGUCAGGUUCGCUUUUGUACACAAGUCUUUUGGGGGAUUGCAUGGAACGUGAAUGUACUUAGCCGGGGGUGAAAAGCUGUGCAUAUUCAGCUUCAGUAAUUAAGUUAUUCUAGAGACCCGAUUUCAUUAAAACACAACUUGUAUAAUUGUAACUUACCCAUGAAUUGUAAUUACCAGACCUAACCUUAAUAGUAAAGCACCACAUGUACUAAUGCAUCAUAAAAUACUUAGAUUAACACAUGGCUCUUUGAAGUAAGGUGAGGAAGCAGCAUUGGAAAUUCCCUGUUGAGGAUGUAUUGAAUUUCUGCAGCUGCAUCUGGAAUCUCUGUGCCCACUGUCCUAUUGUUUUGCCUUGUGUUUGGUACACCAUUAUAGGAACAGCAUGUUAUCUAAGGUUGAUUUUAACACAAAAUACCUUGCUUGUUUUGUUUUAGUCACAGUGCACCAAAUAAAGCCACAGCAUUGUGGUUUGCAGAGGCCUGCUGAUUCGCAAAGAGCUGCAGAGGUUUCAUUGAGCAGAGUAUUUGGAGUAUUUUUCCUUAUUAGCAGCAAUUGCUUAGUGUAGAGAAAUGUCUUGAGGAGUUAAACCUGUGUUGCUUUUGCUCGUUUUAAGACUGUUGGUUUUAUGUGUUAAUUUAUUUAUCUUGCUAGGAGCAUAAAAUAUGUUGUGCUUGGCCUGAAUGACAGUUAUUAACACUUGGGAAAACAGUUGAUUUUCUGGUUUGCCUUUUUGCUUGGCUACUGUGUCACAGAGACCUGGUCGUGUACUUUUCUCAUCACUAUGGUCACACUAUUUAUGACCUCUCCCUUUCAACUGUAUGCUCUUUGUGUAGUUGUAAGAAUAUAGCCUGAGUGGGUCUAUAGUCGCUGAAAGGUAUCACUGCUAACAUAUGCACGCACGCGCACACACACACACACACUUUCAACUGUACACUUUCUGACUCCCAACAGUACACAUGCCUAUUAGCUAGCUUGUUUUACAAUGUUGGCGUUCAACAUUAUUUGGAUAUGUAAGUAUUUAAUUACAAGAAACAACUCUCCUGAACGGCUCUACCACUUGUUGUCACCAACUGAAAACUCAGCUGUGUGCUAUUCUGAAGUGUGUUUGUCUAUUUGAAAUAUGCUGUCUACUAGUGUUUAGCAAAGUUUGUGUGGAAAAAACAAUGUACUAUUAUCUGCUGUAAAAAAAAAAAAAGGAAGGUUAAAGAAACACUGAAGUGUAUCACAUGAAAUAAAAGAUAUUUCACCAAACAUGUA